CGCAGCUACGGACUCUCCUUAGCAGAGCUAUGGAGUGUGACAAUGGUGUUUGUGUCCAAACUAUCAAACGCCAUUAUCACACUAAAUAGCUACUGCUAGGCAAUCCUUCCAGUCAGUG
rnacentral:pre_miRNA from 13 species